AGGUGGAUCGGCCAAGCACGAGGUGUUACGAUGCAUGCGACCAGGCCAUGCGGCCAGACAUGUGGAGGACGUGGUGUCUCCUUGCAUGGAGCCAGGCCAUGCAUCCAGACAGGUAGAGGGCGUGGUGUCACUUUGCAUGUGAGCAGGUCAUGCAACCAGCCAUGUGGAGCACGAGGUGUCGCCGCGCAUGCGUCCGGAGCCAUGCGAAGCGACACACAGGCUGCCACACGGCUUGUUUCUGAUUGGUUGCUGAUUCCUAUAAAUAGCCUAUGACCCCCUCUCAUUUGAACACAUUCAGAACACUUGAAAGUCCGUUCAAAACGUGAGAGAGAAAGCAAAGAAAGAAAUAUCGAGUUUCGAUAGUUUUCGAGCGAUUUAGGCAGUUUUCGAGAACAGUUAUUCUACCGAUUUUGAGCCAGUACCUGGAGAAGGUUCUGUUCAA
rnacentral:lncRNA from 1 species